GUAGAAUUUCUAUAAAAAAAUAUAAAAAAGAAUCUAUGAUUUCUAUAUAAAUAGGUUUAAUAAUUUAUAUAAUCAACAUCUUAUAAUAUUUAGCAAUUUUUACUAUCAAAAAUACAAAUAAAAGCACACAAGUCUAAUAUUAUAAAGAUGUAAAUUAUAGAAUUUUUAGAAUCUUGACAAACUUGCACUAAAUAUUUCAAAGACCACAAAAAUUGUAAUUUAAACAAUAAAAUCGUAAAUUAUUUAUAAUGUAUAUUCUUAAAAGUAAUAAAUUUGUAGAAUAAGUUCCAAUAGUCUUUUGGCACAUUUAGAAGAAUCUAAUGAUGUAAGCCAUAUCUAAGAAACUUCUCUUAUAUCUUUUGAUGAAGAUGUUAUAUAUCUAAUGAGUUUCAACAUGAUUCUACUUACUUCUAUUUACAAAAGUAACAUAAGCAUUUUUAACUACAAGUAUUGUGUAAAAACAUUGUAUUAGAUUGUACAUACCAUUUAGUAGUGUCACAAUAUUUUAAAAGUCAUAAUUUAUUAAAUAUCAUGUUAUAAUGAAGGUAUCCAAUUAAUAAAAAAAAUAUAAUUUAAAUAUAAAAUUUUAUUAUAUUAAAAUUUAUUUACAUAUAUAUAUAUAUAUAUAUAUAUAUAUAUAUAUAAUAUUUAAUUUUUUGGAUUUUACAUAUGUAGAUAAAUAAAUUUAAAAUUUUCCUAAUUAACAUAAUUUUCAAUAGCAUUCUAUUUUAUAUAUAAUCUUUAUUUAUUUAUUUUCAAUAUAAAUAUAUUUUCAUUAAUAAAAUAAUGACGGAUUAUAAUAACAAUUGUCAAGCACAAAAGUCUUUACAAUCUUGAAACAAGACUAUAGUUUUAAAAUGGUAUUAAUAAAAUUAAGAAUAAUCUUAAUCUUGCAAUUAUAUAUAUAUUAGCUACCACAAAGGCCAUAAUGAAGCUUCUUAUAUACUAAAAGAAUUAUAUACUAAGUACAUAUAUUGUAGAAUGCUUGCAUUAUAGAUUUUAGAAACAAAAAUACAUUAAAUCUUUUUAUCUAGCCUCUUAUGUAAUCCUAAAUCCAAUUAUAUAAAAUAAAAUAAAUAAAAAAAAUAAUGUUUAUUGAAGAAAAUAAUGUCUACGUAAUUUAUUUUUACUUUUACUAAAUUUGUUUUACAAAUAUUAAUAUAAAUAAUAUAAAUAUCUUUACAAAAUAAUCUAUAUUUUAUGAAAUUAGAUCUAUAAUUUUAAAAUUAAAUAAAUCAUAGAAGUUAAUUCCGUUGUUUUAUUAAUUUUUUCAAAUACCAUUAAAAAAAAUCAAGUAUAAUUUUUCUUUACAAAAAAAAACAUCCUAAAUUUAAAUAAAAUGUCAUUUUAAAGUUUUUUAAUCAUGCUUUAAUUAUUCUUCAGUUUUUUAAUAAUUAGAUAAUUAUCUCUCUAAGUAAUCUAAAUUAGGACUUAUGAAAGCAACUAUAUUUUUAUUGUCCACUAAUUAGUUGAGAUGAAUAUAUUAAAAAUUUCUAUUUAACAUAAUUUAUUCUAUUAGAGAUUUACUAUUUACCAUUUCCAUUAAAAAAUUAUUAUUUAUGCCAAAGAAAUUAGCUUUUAAAAAUAAAUCCCUAUAUUUAGAAAAAUAUAAUAUCUUAAAAUUAAUAUCUACUUACAUAAAUACCAUAAGUGAGUCCAAAAAUUUCUAAUGUGUGCUCAUUUAUUAAUAGUCUUAAAAAAAGAAUUGUUAAAAGAAACUUCUACACAAGGUGUUAGUCCAAACAAAGAGUUGGAUUUUAGAAGAGUUUGGUAUAAGUUGAUGAAAUGAAGGUUGCAGAAUUUAUGACAUUCAUAAUUAUUUAAUGCUAGAUCAAGUUAAUGUCAAUUUGACACAUAUACAAUGAGAUGUUUUAGUAAAGAGCACUUGUGCAACACAUGGUAGAGAAGUAAAAUCAAAGAGGAAUUAUUGUAGAGAAAAUUCAUCCCUUAGCCCCUUGCUUACCAAAGAGGACAAUAAGUGGGGAGUUGGGCUCUGACCCUUGAAGCCCAUAGUUGAUAUAAUGUGAUGUAAAAUCCAAAAAAUUGACCAUCCAAACCUCUCUCAUGCAAUUUCCAAGUAGAUAAACAACCAACAUAGCCGUACACCUAACAUUCCUAACAACAAUAAUAAUAGUACUUUCAUAAAUAAGUCAAAUAAAUAAUAAAUAAAAAUCACACUAUGAUGGACUCAUGAGCAAGGCGAUGGGUUUCUGCCUGUCCAUCUCAACUCUGCUUUGUCGUGCUUUUUCCUCACACAGUCCCUCACUGUUGCAACCCAAAGCCUGAGAAACACUUGUAAAUUUACUUUGUACUGUGACCUUUGAGAGGUCCAAAACGACAUUCACUACAUGUGUGAAUCUACUUGUGUAGAUUUUAGCAUGUUGCAAAAUGAUGCAGUGGUCGCAUGAUGUCAAAGGUUGGCGUGUUUAUCUGGAUUCAGAUCAAAGUGAUUGUAGUUUCGGCACUGGGCUGCGGCACACGCCAUGCCUACAUGGAUGAGAGCUGCACACUUUUCGAUGAAAGACUGGUGGUCAGGUUGCUAGUCUACUAAAUACAAGAUUAAAUGAAUUCUGGAAUAGGGAUAUUUGGAUGGUCUCGGUUUACAAGCAAGGUGUUUAUAGGCAACGUGGAGCGGUUUCCUGAAUUCAGUGGAAUGAAUUUUAUAUUCCAGGGUUGGGGUGGCCCUCCCAGAGGAUCUUUUCCUGCGGAAUGGUGCAAGAUGUUUGAAGGAGAGUGGUGUUGCAUCUCUUUCACUAUGUCCAUCGUGGGAAAGUCUGCAUGUGUCCUCUAAUCCUUCAACGAUGAAUCCUAAAUUCAGACAAUGACCCCGUCGUCAAGUUACCACAAAUGGCAACGGAUGGACGCCGUGGUGUGAAUAGCUUGCCUGUGUUUAAUGCUCUAACUUUGGUCCAACUUUUGCAGAAUAAUAUAUCUCUUGUGGAGGAGUCAUGAGUGGAAGUGUGGAACAGUGUUGCGUGAAUAGGAAGGUAAAGGGACGAGACAGUGAUCGAGUCAGAUAAGGAGGAAAAUGGAGAUGGAGGAGUUGGGUAUAAAGUGCUGAGAGGAUGGGCUCUGUUGCAUCAUUCCGUAGCAAGUGCACUCCAGUGGUGAAAUCAGCGACGUCUUCCUACUCAUUAGCAAGUUGUCUUCUCUCAUUUCCUCUCAUAUACGUCCUGCAUUUGUACAUGGUUUUGACGUCCUGUGUGUCAUGCAUGGUCACCACCCUGGGAGGCCGUAGCAGGACAUUCCUCUUGUAUGCAGCGCCUCGGUUGUUUGCUUGAAGAGCUAGCCCGCUAGAUUCUUCUAUUCUUUAAUAAGAGUUCUAUAAUACCAUGUUUUAUUAGCUCGUUCAAACCCAUACAAUGAAUCAGUCAUACAUGUCACGGGAAUUUUGCUCGUAUGAUGUAUGUAUCAAUUGAUCAGAUUGUCCUCUCACUACCAUCUAGCCAAACUUGGGUAUUAGACCCUUGGACGUUGAAGGAUUAUAUCCCUCAAGCCAUAGUGAGUUUCUUGCUAAACUUGCAGGACCAAAUUAAUAGGAGAGCAGAGAUCUUAGCUUCAGCCUCGACUGCUUAACAGUAUCAACGUUAUGAACUUUGAUGUGAUCACAGCAUUAGUUGGUGGCGAUCGACAGGAUUUGGAAGUCAGAGUAUACUGACAAUUGGUACUCAUUUGAUUGAGCAGAUUUGAUCGCUUGACAGCAGCUUGCAACAAUGGCAAAGGACAACGGAAAGUGCGGUGCUAACUGCGAUUGCCCAGCGGGAACGUGCGCUAAGGAGAAUGGCAAGUGCGGAGCCAACUGUGAUUGCCCAGCAGGUAACACUGGGAAAGAAUUGGACACUUGCUGUUGGUGAAAUACUCUUUUGUUCACGUUGAAGAUGUGUGGACUGUGGUAAACGACGUUGAGAUUCCUUUGUAGUCAUGGUUACUAUGAUGACAUGGUUGCAGGAACAUGCGCAAACGAGAAUGGCAAGUGCGGUGCCAACUGUGACUGCCCUGCUGGAACCUGCGCCAAAGAAUAGAUCUGAGAUGUUCCUUACUACAAUGAGUUAUCAUCACAAGUGAUAUGUAUAAACGUGACUUGAUACGUAUAGAAGAUGAUAAGUACAGGUUUGUAUAGUGAAUAAUACCCAGUAGCCACACCCUUACGGGAAAGCAACAUGGCAACAGGGUGGAUGCUUCUAGACUGGAAUUAAAUCAUAUUUUGUUUGGUUCGUCUAACAUAAUUUUAAGAUUUGAUGAUGUCUUUGAGCAGGUUGUGGGUCGAUCUUAUUGUCCAAUCCUGGCUUAUGAUCUGAAACAUCCUGCAUUUUAUGCAUACUCUUUCCUACCUCAGCUUUUCAUUUUCAGUUGUGUUUUUGGUGUUGGUUUGCUUUGGUGUAUAAACGCGACGUGCUGCAUGUUCUUCAGUCUUUUGGACAUGAACUCGAAAUAAGAAUCUAAGCGCUGGAAUAACUUGCCACCCUACACUUCGCAAAAGCUACUAGAUGCUAUGCAGAAGCUAUGCCUUGACGUAAAGACUCAGUUCGAUUUAAUUUUGGGAAGGUUAGAUGUUUUCCUCCGUUAAGAAUUUUCUUUUGCAGUUACCAGUCUGAAUGGUAACCUCGUGACAGUUUGAAACGCCGUGAUCGUUGCCUGGGUUACUUAAUUCUUUCUCUGUGUGUAGUCUUGUUAUUCUCGCAAUCUCUCUUCAGUUCCUUGAGAUGCGUGAAAUCCAAUUCUCCUCUCGAAUCAAAAGUUCCUGCCUCAAUCGAAUGUCUAGACAUACGCUCCUUAUUCCAUCGACAAAAACGUUCAGAUGUUUAGAGACUCGUAUAAACUAAUUCGUCUCGAAAGGUAACAUCACAACUUCCAGUGCAGAUUCAGAGUAGUAUGCACCAAAAGAAGGCUUCAGGAUUCAUGUCUAGAUCUUCAGAGAAAGACAGAAAAGUCCAGCGGUCAUUUGGGUUCAUUCACGCUCUGCAUGUGAAUUAUGAGGAAGGGCUUCCAGCUGUUUCACUGGAUCUGAUCCGGAGAUCCUGACGUUGCCUUCUACACUUAAAAUUGAAUGACUACCAAAUAAAAUUCUAGUACCAAGAAUAAGCAAAAAUGAAUAAAAAAAAUGAUUCCACAAAUACUAGAGAAAAGUAAGACCCAUACCCUAAACCUUUAUAUAUAAUUUUUUUUUUAAAUAUUAUAUUGUAUAUAACAUUCAUUUAAAUAUUCCUAUUUUAUUAGGAAUAUUUAAAUGAAUGUUAUAUACAAGAUGUCUAGAUUCUGCUCGCGUCUUCGCACAUCACACUGGGCGAAGUUUAUCAGCAUCUCAAUUCCUGUGGAUUCCUGAGAUCCUAAGGUAUUGUGGUAGAUGUUGUGUCUUUGUAUUUUUGUUGUGAUUUUCUGUUGUUUCAAUAAUCAUUGUUGGUGUUUUGGUGUUGUUGCUCAAGGGUUUAAAAGUAGAUAUUGUUACUUAUGGCACUAUUGUUAGAUUGCUAAUGAGGUUGUAGUACAAAUAUUGUGUUGGCACAAAAUGUUGUAGUUUAUUUUGUUAAAGUAUUGUGUAUUUAAUUGAUUUUAGUUCUAAACUUUUUUAUUAUUCUAAUUUUUUCUGUUACUAAACCAUUUUCUUGAAUAAAAUUAAAACAAAAUUUGUUUGCAAUUACUCAAAUUUAAUUGAGUACUAUAGUCUUUAUUAUGUGAAGUCUAUUGCAAAUUCAUGAGAAUGGCUAAUUCAAUGACAUUGUUUUUUCUAAAUGUUUUUUUUUUUGGCAAUAUCAAAUUAUGUGUUUAUUAUUUUAAUUUUGUUCUAUUUAUAGAUUAGUAGUAUAAAUCUAUUGAUGAACUAGGUUGGCUUCUUAAAUUAUAGUGUUUGCUAGUAGUGCAUUGUAGUUGUUUUUAUUUGCAUACUUGUUGGAGAUGGUUGUUUACUUAUUGCUUAUUGUACAUAAGUAUAGAGGUAUAAUUUAGUUCAAAUUAGCAAUAAUUUAUGAUUAAAAAGAAAAUAUGGACUUCUUGAAUUAUUCUAUAUUUAAAAUACUAUUACAUUGUGAAAUUUUAGAAUUUUUUAUUGAAAAAGUUUACUACUUAGUAUAUUUGGAUAUUAUAGUUUAAAUUAAACUAUUUUGCUUUUAAGUAAAAAACCAAUAAUAAAAACCAUAAAUUUUUAUUUUCUUAUUUUUAUUUUUCUUUUUUUAACAAAAAUAGAGAUAAAUAACAUAUUACAAAAAUUGCUUAAAUGUGUCCUACUUCUAUUGUAAUAAAAAUCAAAGAAAACUAAAACUUUAUAGAAAUAAAACCAAAAUCAAGCAUAAACUUACAAAAACAUAAUUUUGUGCUUGAAUAGAUAAUAUAGUAGAGAUAUAAUUUUUUUAAUUUAAAUAAUUUAUAAUUUAUUCUUUUAUAGUUCUUUUUUAAAUAAGACUUUUAAAAAUAUAUUUUCUAUUAUGUUUUCAAUCAUAUUAAUUUUUUAAUAUUUUAAUUUUUAAAAAAUAAUAUUCAAAAUCUACAAAUUUUCUUUUAUAUUAAUAUUCAAAACUAUUUGUAAAGAUUUUAUUACUUUUUCUAUCAAACUUCGUUUCUGUAGAAUUAUUGUGUAUAAAUUCUAUAUCAAAAAAAUAUUCUUUUUGGCCAAUAUCUUUAUAGUUUUAGUUAUAAUUAUAUUUUUAGAUUUUAUUAAAAUAUACGCAAUUGUAUGUUGUUUUUUCUUAAUUCAAGAAAAUACCUUCUUUAAUGAAAAAAGAUACAUAUUCAAAAAAGAGUCUUUUGGUUUUAUUAUAACCAACCUACUAAUGAUAAAUAUAUCUACAUUAUAAAUCUUUAUCUUCUGUAGCUUGAUAUUUAAAUCCAAAAAGUUAAAUAAAAAUUAAAAUAAAAUUUUAAAUAAUAUAAUAAGUAAUUUUUAUUUUACAGAUACAAAGAAUUGAAAUAAAUAAAUAUAUAUAUAUAUAUAUAUAUAUAGUAUUAAACUAGGAAAUGUUUUUAAAACAUUAUGAUUUAGAAUUUACAAUAAUACACACGACUUCUAACUGUUUUGAUUUAAGUUAGUUUAUUUUAACAUCUAUAUAAUAAAAAUAUUUAAUAUUUUUUCUUGUCUAUUUUGGCAUAAUAAAGUGAACACAAGUAAGCAUGAUAUACUUAUGUUUUUAUUUAAUGUUUUUUUUAAUAUAUCAUAGUCUAUUCUUCUUUUCUAUCUUUUAUUAUCAAGAUUCAAAAUUUGUAUUGAAUUUCUUCUUUAUCAAACAUCUCAAAUUCUUUUUGCAAUAGAAUUUUGAUACAAUAAAGAAGAAAAUAAAAUAUAUUAAAAAAAAUUAUUUAAAGAAAUUAAAUUAUUUUUUAUUCUUUAAAAAUAUAAUUAUUUUAUAUAUAUAUAUAUAUAUAUAUAUAUAUAUAUAUAUAUAUAUAUAUAUUAAAAUUUUAAACAUAUUGUAAUUUAUGAACAUUUAUGUUUACUACUUGGAAGUUGCUAGAUUUUUAAUUUAUAAAUACAUAUAUUUUUAAAUAGCUUUCCAAUAUAUUUUUGAAUAUGAUAUAAUUUCAAGUAUUUUUUUUUAAUAAAUUCUAAAACUUUUUAGCUGUUAUAUUUUUUUUGUAAAAUAUAUGUUUUUGUUACUUCAUAUUUUAUGCCUUCUUGGCACAAAGUGUCUUAAAUUUCUAAAUUGAUACUUAGCUUGUAUAUUGAUUUUAGUUUUUAGUUUUUUUCUGUUUUUUAUUGUAUAUGAUAUUACUAAUAUAUUUUUUUCUAGAAGGCUAUUGAUUUUUUUAAAAAUUAAGUAAAUAUUUCAAUUUUUAAAAUAAUUAUCUAUAUACAUCAUAAAGCAUUUAAAACUUAUAUAAGUACAAACUAUUAUAAGAUCACUCUCAUUUAAAUGUAUUGAUUUAAUUAAGGUUAUAGUCUUCAUUUUUUUUCUUGUAUACAUUGUUUUUUCUAUGUUACUUGUUAUGUUUUGCAACAAAAAUACAAAUUUAGGUUUUUAAAAUCAAAAGAAGAUAUUAUUUCAAAUGGUCCUUAAAUUUAAUGAAGUGUAUUAUGAUUUACAUGGAAUAGUCUUAGAUGCCAUACAUUUCUUUGGUUUUAUUUGUAUAUUGUAAUAUUUUUUAUUUGUAAAGAUUAUAAAACUAUUAUUUCAAGUUCAUUAAAAUAAGAAUUUCACUUCCAUGUGGCAAAUAUCUUUCAAUACUUGUUCAAGAAUGUGGUGACUUUUGCAUUUAUCAUUCAAAUAAAUUCCAAUGAUAAUAUUAUGGUUUCAAUCUAUGUAUCUGUAACUACCAACACUACCUUGUGCUACUUAAUGCUUUGAGCUUCUCAAGUGGACUUGAAAAUGAGUGCACAUUACCGCAAGGUUUGAUGUCACUCUAGAUAGCAAGACAUGGGUUUAAUACUUCAAUGUUGCAAACGGAUCUGGUUCCACUUGAUCAAACAAGAAACUUUAGGUAGAUACAGGGAACGGAUGGAAUCCAUAUGCGCAAUUCGGCAAUCUCACCUUCAAUCCAAUCUGUUGACAAUUUUGGGAAUAUGAGGUUUUUGCCCACAAUUCGGGGUGGCAUGGCUCGUCUCUGAAUUUUGGUGGCACAGCUUGCCUUACUUUCAAACCCUAAAAGCCGGAGUUUUGAACAGCUAUGGCAAUCGAGGGCACAAAAACCAACAGUACAAUUGUAGUGAGUGGAGUGGUCAUCUGUGAAGGACCAUGACAUAUGAAGCCUGUGGAAGUUGUUGGUAUUCGUUGUGCUGUGCUGUACUGAGUUCCAUCAGUGCUGUCAUUUUGAUUUUCCAAUUGCAUGAUGGUGAGAUCACCACGGGCUCCUGGCACACUGCUAUUGCUUUGAGUUUCUGUGUGUUUCAUGAUUCAAUUUGCUUGAGUCUACAACACAACUUCGUGUCUGGAAUAUCCUACCUAUCGGUUGCUGAUUUACCAAAGCUUCCAGGACCAUUGAGUUGCGACCACGGCAGUUUUUGUGACAUGAAAAAAAUCUUUUCAAUAGGUUGUUCAUCUAUUUUCAGGUUUUCUGAUCGUGUCUUUCAAAUGGUAGUGCAGCUAUGAUCCAUGAAUAGCACUUGUGCUUAUGGUAUCUAUGAUCUUAUUUUGUAGCUGAUAGAAACGUCAAGGCUAUGGACAAAGUGUGUUAAAAGAACAGAAACUCAUGCUCCUUUAUUCAAUGGAAAGGUCGUAUCUACCUUGAGCGCUAAAAAUAGUUUCAAGUUUCGUAGACGGCACCGCACUCUAUCUCGACGCAGACCCAAUCCUUACCACUAACUCGUCAAACUAUCCACUUCAAGAAAGCUUAAAAUUGCAUAACACUUUAAUUAAUUCUGGUUAAUCUGUCAGUGGAACGCAAACUAAGCAACAACAUCGAUCUGAUUCGUGAGAUUGAGUGUGAAGAUUGGUAUGCUUGGCAGUGGCAGUGUGAACUUCCUGCCAAGAGAUUGUAACCAUUGCUAAGCUGGAAACUUGCGACAACAAAAAGAAUGUGAUCUGGUGGGUUUUCCUAUUGCUCGCUUCAACUAAUAUCCUUCGUGCUUUUCUGUGAGCGACAUGCACUGAGCAGAAUGUUCGAAUCAGUUAGCUUCACACCACACACUCCUUUGACAAACGCUACUAGUUGAAACAGUCCACCAAUUCCUGAAACUUUUCUUUCGUCCCGGGUCAUUUCAUUGUAGUAGUUUUUUUGUUUUUUUAUUUUUGUUGAGAAUGUUUAGAAAGACACAAGAGUAAUAGUAAGUCAUACACAUCUACAAGAGUAGUAGUAAGUCAUACACACACAAGAGUAGUAGUAAGUCAUACACACACAAGAGUAGUAGUAAGUCAUACACACAAGAGGGUUUCUAAGGAGAGAGAGCUUCACACACACACAAAUCUAUUGAUCUGGUUGUGUCUCGUAUACAAGAAGAGAAAAGAAAAGAGGAUGAACGGUACUUCUCCACUAGACUCUAAAUACUGUAGCUACAGUAAUUACUAUAGUCUACAGUAAAUAUUAAGGAGAGCGUCAGCUACAUUUAAUGAUCUCAACACUCCUCCUCGCUCAUCAUAACAUUUACAUAAUAUAAAAUUUGUAUAGAAUUAUGAUCUAUACUUUUUUGUGAUCUUACAAGAUCAAUAAUUGUUGCCUCAUUAAAACCUUAUUUAAGAAAACCUUAUUUUAUUUAAGGACAAAACCAUAGAUGAAAGAAAAAGAGUACAACAUCAUUUUCUUUAAUUAUUUAAAGAGCUCAUUAACUUUCUUAUUCAAGAAAAGUAAGUCGUCGCAUACCAAUGCCAUAAGUAAGUCGACGAUGGUUGCUUAAUGGGAGAGCUUUGGUGAAGAGGUCAGCAAGGUUAUUUGUAGAUUCAAUUUUCUUAAUUAUAAGUGCUUGAUCAGUAAUCAAGUUAUGAAUAUAACUAAAAUACUUUGGAUCAAUAUGCUUUGUCCUAUCACCUUUAAUGAAACCAACUUGUAUCUAAACAAUGCAAGUACUAUUAUCUUCAUGCAAGAUAGUUGGAGAAUCAUCAUAUGAAAAUCCUUAGAUUAUUUGAAUGAAUUUAUCAAUUGAUCGCAACCAAAUAUAUUUUCGAGAUGCUUCAUGUAAGGCAAUAGUUUUUGCAUGGUUGGAUGAAGUUGUAGUUAUUGUUUGUUUCAUUGAUUUCCAUGAUAUUGCAACUCUAUGUCUUAAAAAUACAUAUCUUGUUUGAGAUUUAGCUAUUGCAAUAUCAGAUUUAUAUCCUGCAUCACAAUAUCCAACCAAUUUUGGAUCUACAAAUUUUGUGUAAUAUAAUCCCAAGUCUUCAAUACCUUUUAAAGAACGUAAUAAAUAUUUGAUGCCAUUCCAAUGUCGUAGUAUUGGACGUGCACUAUGUCUUACAAGAACACUAACCGCAAAUGCAAUAUCUAGUCUUGUAGAUAUAGCUAAAUACAAAAGUACUCAAACCGCUGCGAGGUAUGGAUAUUGGUCUCCCAAUAUUUCCUCCUCCUCCUCGCAUGGACUAUAUGGAUCAUGACCAUCACGACCACAUCCAACCAUUGGUGUGGACAAUAGAUAAGCAUCAAUCAUAUUAAAUCUUUGCAAAAUUCGUCUAAUAUACGUUAGUUGGUAGAAAAAAAUGCUACCAUUUGUAAGAUACAUAAUCUGAAGACCAAUGCAGAAAGUUAUUUUUCUUAGUAUUUUCAUCUCAAAUUCACGUAUAAGUAGGUUUGUAGUUGUAACACAUACAGAUGUAGUGUCCACUAGGUUAAGAUCAUCAACAUAUAUAGCGAUGAUCACAAAACCAGUUUUAUCUCGUUUGAUAAACAAACAAGGGAUUAGUGGAUCACUUAUAAAAUUAUUUUUAAUUAAAUAAUCUUGUAGACGUUGAUACCACAUUCGUCUGGAUUGUUUUAAACCAUAGAAGGCCUUACAUAAUUUACUACCAUGAUAUUUUCUUGGAGUGGAUUGAUUUGGAGUUCCUGUUUCUAAGCCAGGUGGAACUUUCAUAUAAAUAUUUGCAUCAAGAGAACCAUAUAGAUAUGCAGUAACUACAUCUAUCAGAUGCAUCUCAAGGGUGGCAUGAACUGUCAUUCCAAUAAUAUAUCGAAAUGUAAUUGAAUCCAUGACUGGAAAAUAUGUGGAUUCAUAAUCAAUGCCAAAUCGUUGAGUAAAUCCUUGAGCAACAAGACGAGCUUUAUAGCGGGUUAUUUGGCCUUGAACAUCUCACUUGCAUAUUAAUACCAUUUUAUAUCCCACAGGGCGAGAUGUAAGAGUGUCUACAAUUGGACCAAAGACUUUCCUCUUACGCAAAGAGGCAUACUCCUCCUCAAAAACAGGUUUCCAUUUUGACCAAUCAGAGCGACGCAUCGCCUCUUCAAUGGUUUGAGGUUCAGGAUCGUCUUCCUUACAAGAAAAGGCUUCUACAAUCAUAUAUGCAAAUGAUUCAUCUACCAUAAUAGAUGGUCCUUCCCAAAUAUCAUCUGUAGCACAAUACAGAAUAGAUAAUUCUUUACUCAAUUUGUUCUUAUUCCUUCCAAUUCCAAGAUUAUUUUUCAUAGGAAUUGAAGGUACAUUAUGCAUGGAUAUAUCAUCAUGAAUUGGUAGUCGUGCAAGAUAAGUAGCAAUUUCUUGAGAAAUAAUACCAUGAUUAGUUAAUUUUAUAGCUUUUUUUCUUACGUGAUUGCUUAUUUGGUCCACGAGUUCUUUUAGUUGUUGUUGUUAUAACUUGAGAUAUUAUAGUCAAUGGCACUGCAAUCUGAGCAGGUGCAUUCUGAGCCUCAUUAAUAGGAACUCUUGUAAUUCUAGAUGCAUCAUUGAAGCCAUUAGGUGUUUCAUCUGCAAUCCGUUUUAAAUGUAAAAUCUUAGCAACUUCAGUUUCUGUCAAAGAUGUCCUAAGAUCGGGAUUCAUUGUAAAGAUUUCUAGUGCUUCAAAUAUGAGUACUUUAUUUCUUUGUUGAUUGGAUACUCCUCCUCGAAGAGAUGGGAAUACAUUUUCUUCAAAACGGUAAUUUUGCAAACGUGCACGUAAUAAUGUAUCAGUUGAUGGAUCAACAAUAUGAAUAAUGCUUGGUGAAUCAAAACCAACAUAUAUGCCUUCUUGUCAAUGAGCUCCAAUGGUAUGCCGUUGAGGUUCUAGUACUGGAAUCCAAGCACGGCAACCAAAUAUUCGUAAGUGAGAUACAUUUAGAAUACGACCCGAAAUGAGCUCAUGUGGUGAAACAAUUUCAAGAGAAGAAGGACGGAGGCAUAUUAAUACUGCAGCAUGUAAAACUGCAUGACCCCACAUAGAUGCAGGUAGAUUUGCGUGAAGGAGGAGUGGCCGAGUAAUAAAUUGUAUACGCUUUAUAAAUGACUCUGCAAGUCCAUUUUGAACAUGUUCAUAUGGAAUACAAUAUGUCAACUCGAUUCCUGUUGCAGUAUAAUAGUCUUCAAAAGACUUUGAUACAAAUUCUUUUGCAUUAUCCAUAUGCAAUAUUUUUAUAGGAUAAUCAGGAAAAUGUGCCCAAAAGUGAAUAAGCAUAGAUAUAAGAUUGGAAAACACCAUGUUUUGAGUUAAUAAUAAAGAAAUAUGUGAUUGUUUACCUGAUGCAUCAACAAGGACCAAAAAAUAACGAAACGGUCCUGAUAUUGGAUUAAUAGGACCACAAAUAUCACCAUGCAAUCUUUCAAGCAUUGGUGGUAAUUCUUGUAGAAGUUUUCAAAUUGAAGGCCGAAUAAUCAUUUUACCUUAUACACAUGUAUGACAUAAUUCCAUAGAGUCUACAUCUGCAGGCUUUAAAUUGUGUCCAGUUAUAUAUGGAAUGAUCUUUCUAAAUAAUGUGGAUCCUAGAUGUUCCAAUUAUCCAUGCUAGAGAGAAACACGACUCUCUGAGAUAGAUGAUGCAAAAUCAAAUAUAAUGGGAGGCCAAAGCAUAAUUCGAUAUAAACCAUUUUUUGUAGCAAAAGCUUUUUCAAUAACUUUAUGGUUCUUCGCAAGAACCAAAACUUCUUUUCUAUUUAAAGUGGCAGUCGAGAGGUGAUAACCAUUAAUACGCACAUCUCAGUAGCUGAUCAGACUCUGAGGUGCUGAGGGUGCAAACAUCACAUGUUUACAUUUUAUGAUGGAACCCGCAAGUAAUUUUAUCAUCGUUGUGCCCUCUUGGAAACAAAACGCAUUUGCUCCAUCCAUGGUCAUCAUAUUUUUAGUUUGCCAAGUUGAAGAUUUUUCAAUAAAAAAUCAUCUAUCUCGCAAGAUAGUAUGUGUUAUUAUAGAAUCAAUGAGUGCAUCAUUUGAUUCAUCAUUAGAGGUUCUAUCAUUCAUAUAAGCCUUUAAGUCAUCAACACCAAUUGAAUCCAUGGACGCAUCUAUGGUAUGAAUUUCACGAGCCUCAGCUCGUAAUUUCUUAUUUUCUUGGAAAAUUUUAAUAAAAUAUUCUGAAGUACGGCACGCAUGUACUAAAUGUCCAAUCAUUCCACACUUAUGACAAGAACAUAUCUCUGAUUUUUAUUUUCUACUAUAAUUAAUAGUAGAACAUUUUGUUAAGGAUAAGAACUCGAUGAAAAAAUAAUUCAGACAAGUAAGCCUUCAUUCAAAGAAAGGUAACAAAAUAUAAAUAAAUAAGUAUGUAUAUUGAAAGAGAAACUGGAAUGGCUAUUGCCAAAAGACAAGAAAACUACAGACCCUUGAAACUAGACCGGAAGCAAGAAAAGAGUUGACAAGAGUGAAGAAGGCUUCACUCUUGUCUCUAUAUAUAUUAUCUAACUAGGGGCUACAUGGCGACAUUCUAUAGGACCUCUAAUAUGUGUUGACUUUGUAGGAUACAUGCCUUGACUUAUAAGGCAAGUUUUUAUACAUGUAGGCCACAUAGUUAGCUUGAUCUUCAAGCUAACAACAUGUGUGGCACAUGGCCAACUUGUUGAUCACGUUUCUAAUCCAAAAAGUCAAUUAAAGACACCUAUGAAGUCAAAGUAGCAUCUAUAAAGCUUCUAAGAAGCUUCUAUAUUAAAUAUUAUAGAAUUAACUUACUUCUACUUAUUUGUAUAUGUAAUUACUAGCUUACAUGAGUAUGUCCAUGACAUUAUCCCCCCUUCUAGGCACGAGUUUCACAAGGAGUGAUCAUCAUAUGUUGAGAAAAUCUAUGAUGCGACGAAUUGUAUUUGCUACAUAUUCUGAUCUUUGUUCUCUUCAAAGAUGAUUGAUAGGGCCUCUCAACCAUCGAUAGUGUCCCAUACUAAGGCGGAAAGACCACCCAAUUAUUUGAUCAUUGUUGAGGCCUUCAUAACUUCCUUCGAAUAGAACAUUUGGAACACCAUCAGGAGUUGUUUCUACCUCUAGCAAAAUCACCAAACAUUGGGAGUCCCUUCCAAGGUUGUGAUACGAAACGCGUUGUAUCUCGCCAUCUAUUCGAGGAAGAACAUGUCGUUCUUGAAGAUCUUCAUCUCGAUUGCAUCGUCUUGAAGGUUAUGACAACUGUAAUGUCUCAUCCAACAGGUCAGCAAAUGAAGGCUCUUCAGUUGAAUCCACUGGUUGUUGGUUCUCUAUCUCCUGAACGUCACAACUACAAAGAAGCUACGAACAAGGAUUGAAAGUAGAAUGUAGUCUUGCCUAGAUGUUGUUUCUUUUAUAAAGAAAGUUUUCAUCUUGAUUUUGAUGGAUGUCAUCGAUGAAAAGCCUCCACCAUUUUUGUUGCAUUUGCAAGAUUCUUUAUUGACUCCCAUGUGCGUUCACUAAUAGCAUAUCCAUGCCAAUGGACAAGAUAUUUCAAUUUAUUUUGGCACCGCCUUGAAUCUAAGACUUCUUCUAGUUCAAACUCUUCAUUAUUGUCCACUUCUAUAGGAGGAGGUGGAGCUUGUCGUCUUCUUGGUAUGCCCACUGUCUUGUAUGGUUCAAGAAGAGACACGUGGAAUACUGGAUGGAUUUUCAUUGAAUUCGGUAGAUGUAAACGAUAUGCAACUGGAUUGAUUUGUACAGAAAUAAAAAAUGGUCCCAGCCUUCGAUAGUCCAACUUGUCACAAGGACGAGUGGUCUUGAUAUUGUGACAAAGUAGUCAUACCUUAUUGCCCAAGAGGAAUGGUGGUUGUUCCUUUCGAUAGACAUCCGCAUUAACCUUUUGUUGUUCUUCAGCAUCUUUUAACUGCACCUUCAUCGUUGCAUGUAGCUCUGAUAAAUGAAUUGUGAAAUCUUUCGCAGUAGGAUUAUCAACUUUUGAAAAGUCAAAAGUAUCAAGUCGUAGAUGAUAACCAUAAUUAGCAAAGGAAGGUAUUUGUUUUGUAGAAGAAUGUACCGUGUUAUUGUAAGCAAACUCUGCCAAUGGCAAAAGAGUUGUCCAAUCAUCUUGUUGGUAAUUAAUAGUACAUCUUAAAUAUUGCUCCAAAACUUGAUUAACAUGCUCCGUUUGUCCAUCACUUUGAGGAUGGAAUACCGAAGAUAGUUUUAUAUCCACUUUAAGAAUCUUGAAAAGAGUCUGCCAAAAUCUUGAUACAAAUUGAGUUCCCCUAUCUGAUAUAAUAUCCUUGGAUAAUCCAUGAUAGCGAUAGAUAUUAUCAAGAAAGAGUUUAGCUGUUUCUUCACCUGUGAUAGAUUUUAUACAUGGUACAAAAUAUGCCAUCUUGGUAAAACGAUCUACUAUCACGAAUAUAGAGUCAUAAGAACUUGAGAUUGGAAGAUCCGUGAUGAAGUCCAUAGAAACAGAAGACCAUGGUUGUUUUGGAAUGGGUAAUGGCUGAAGAAGUCCAAAAGGUCGAUGACGAGGAGUUUUUGAUCUUGAGAAAAUAUCACAUGAUUGUACAAAGUCUUUAACUGCCUUUCACAUUUGAGGCCACCAAAAAUCCCUAGAUAUCAGCUCCAAAGUCUUAUUAUAUCCAAAAUGUCCUGUUGUUGGGAAGUCGUGAUGAGCUUGAAGAACACGUAAAUGUGCUUCUCCUUUUGGAACAUAUAGGCAUCCUUCAAAAUAGAGUAGGUUGUUCUUGAAUUCAAAUUUAGAGGGAUCAUGAGAUUUAGAAGAAUUAUUCUUGAUAUCAUGAACAAGAGGGUCUAAAGACAUACUUAACUGGACUUGCUUAAGAAAAGUUAAAUAAACAGUCAAUGUUGAUUUUAUUGCUUGAAGAUGAAAUUGCUCUGGCUUCAAGAGAACCAUUCUUUGUUGCUCAAAAGCUGCAUUUCCUUCUUUUGGUGCAAGAUAAGAACGUCUAGAUAAGGCAUCGGACAAACCUUAUUGUUUUUUUGGCCGAUAAGUAAUGAUGAACUCGAAUCUUGAUAAAGACAUGCUCCAACGAGCUUGGCGACGAUUUAAUAUGCGUGCUGACAUAAAAUAUUCGAGGUUCUUAUAAUCCGUAUAUACGGUGAGUGGACUGGAAGCGCCUUCUAGAUAAUGACACCAUUCUUGAAAACAAUCCAUAAUUACAAGAAGUUCUUUGUCAUGGAUCUCAUAAUUGAUUUUUGCUGCUGAGAAUUUUCUUGAAUGAAAGGCUACUGGAUGAAGUUUGUCAUCUGUUCCCAUUUGUGAUAAAAUCACACCCAGAGUAAAGUCCAAUGCAUCUAUUUCUAUAAAGAAUGCUUUGGAAAAAUCAACACGAUACAAGAUUGGUGUAGAAACAAACGUUGUCUUCAAAGAUUCAAAAGCAACUUUCGCUUCUUGAUUCCAUUGGAGUUUGUCUUUACAAGUCAAACAUGUAAGUGGAGCUAUAACUUAAGAGAAGUCUUUGAUGAAGAUGAGAUAGUAGUUGGCAAAUUCCAAAAAACAUUGGACAUCUCUUACCGUUUUGGGGAUCUUCUAGUCUAUAAUAGUUUGAACUUUCUUAGGAUCCAUCAUAAGUCCAUCAUUUGAAAUGAUGUAACCUAAGAAAUCGACUUGAGUAGUGUGGAAUACACACUUUUUUUAUCUUGGCAUAGAGUCCUGCAUCUCUUAAUUUUUGUAACACACGACGAACAUGAAGUUCAUCUUCUUUUGGAUUCUUAGAAUAGAUCAAGAUGUCAUUUAGAUAACAGACAACAAAACCGUCCAAAAACUCUCGAAAAACAUCAUUCAUUAGAUGUUGAAAAGAUGUUGAUGCAUUUGUAAGUCCAAAAGGCAUGACAUUGUAUUCAAAAUGUCCAUACCUAGUUCGAAACGCAGCCUUCUAUUCAUCUCCUUCUUUGAUGUGUAUUAGAUUGUAUGCUCUCCGAAGAUCUAUUUUUGUAUAGAUCUUAGCUUGAUUCAGCUGAUCAAGAAGUCCAGAUAGUAAAGGUAGUAGAUACUUGUUCUUGAUGGUAAUCUUGUUGAGUCCUCGAUAAUCAACAUACAUCCGUAAUGAUCCAUCUUUUUUUUUCACAAAUAGAAUUGGAGCUCCUGCUGGAGAUUUAGAAUGGCGUAUGAAAUUCUUGGCUAGAUUUUCUUCAAUAUACUCUUUGAGUUCAGCCAACUCAUUUUGUGAUAAAUUAUAGAUUGGUCCGAAUGGCGGUUGUGCUCCUUCUUGAAGGUCAAUUGAGUAAUCAUAGGGACGAUGUUCCGGGAGUGUAUCCGCAUUCUUUUUUUCGAAUACAUCUUGAAAUUCUUGAUAUUGGCUUGGAAUGCCACUUGAAGUCUUUUCACCACUAGAAAUGGGUGUGGCAUAAAUAAUAUAUGGUGAUUCUUUCAUAGCAGGAUGCAAGAAAGCUUUUGCACCUAUAAAUACGAGUUUAAUUGAACUAGACUUAUGACUCUCUACUUCAUUAGUUAUACUUUUGGAGAAAGUAAGAGUUUGGGAAAUCCAAUCUAUUUGAGAGUUGUAUUUUUCUAACCACGAUAAACUUAAAAUGAUUGGAUUAGAGGGAGAUCUAAUGAUAUUAAAUACCACAAAACUAUUAUGACCAUUGAUUAUUACUUCUAUAAGAAGGAUUUCGUGAGUAAUAUCUCCAGAAGACAAUGGACGACCAUCUAUGACUUCUAAAUGAACAGGUUUAGUUUUCUUUACUAAAGAUAUGCUAUGUCUUUUAGUAAAUUCUUCAUCUAAAAAACAAGUUGAGGCUCUUGAAUCUAACAAGGCAGAGACUUUGUAAUGUUUAGGUCCUAAAAUAAUAUUUAAUGUAAAACAAGGAGAGGGCUUUGAGGAGAGAAUAGGACCCUUACUAGAUGUUGUGCAAGAUUCCAGCCGCACGGUUCCUAUUGUAGCUGAACAAACUCGUUUUUCGACAUAUUAUCUUCUUUCACAGCCAUACUCUUCAUUUUGUGAUUGCGUCGUUUCUUUGGACAAUGUUGAGCAAUGUGCUUUGGUUCUCCAUAAUAUAAACAUAAUCCUUCUUGAUGACGAUGAGUCUUUUCUUACUCAGUAAGAGGUUUGAAACGUACUGCAUCAAUUUGCAUAUCCUCUACUUCCGAAUGUAUGUAUUGAAGAGGUGUUGGUGUUGCCAUUGAAUUAUAGUAACGUUGAGGUCCACUUGUACGAUUCUCAGAUCGAAAUUCAAAAAGGUGAUUGUCGCACUUCACAGCAAAGUCAAUUGCUUGACUCAAGAUUUGAGGAUCAAGUAAGUUGAGCAUUAAUUUUUUUACCUCAUAUUGCAAUCCGUAGAAAAAUUGACUAAUAAGUGUAGCAUCAUUCCACUUGAUAUUAGUUGCAAGUUGUCAAAAUUGUGAAGCGUAUAACGUUACUGAUCAAUUGCCUUGUUGUAAAAUACGGAUCUUAUUGGUUGCAACACAAAUUGCAUCAUGUUCUCCAUACAUGGAUCAAAACUCCACCAAAAAAGCCUCUAAAUUAUCCAAUAUUGGAUCUCGUCGUUUAAGAAAAGAUGAAAACCACGAUAGUGCUGAACCUGAAAGAAGCGUAUCAAUGAAUCUAACUUGUGAUCCUGGAGUUGGAUAGCUUUGGGGUUGAAGUUCAAUGACAAGUUGCACUUGAUUGAUAAAUCCUCGAAACUUGAAUCUGGUACCAUCAAACUUCUCGGGUAGGGCAAUUCUUGGUUCUCUAACAUUUGAAGGGCGUUCCACCAUAGGAAAAAGGACAUGGUUUGGUGCAAAUGUUGAAGCAGCUCCAACCAUUUCUAUAUCUUCACUUCCUGCCAAUCUUGUUGCUCCUUGUGGUGGUAAAUUGAGUUGAUGCAUCGCAAGCAUUAAUUCCCUCAAUUGCUCUUGCAUUUGUGCCAUUGCACUCUUCAUUUCAACAAGUUCUGCCAUGAUAACACUUAGAAGAGAGAAGAUGUCUAAUAUCGCUCAAGACAAAUAGAACAGAGGAUUUGAGAACAAAGAAAAUACUAAUGACAAUAUCAGUUUAAAAGAGGGUAAUCUGCAACUUCUAAUAUGCUUAUAUCUUAUCAAGAAAAAAGGGUAAUCCACUCUUAAUCAAGAUUAGACAAAGCUCUGAUAUUGUAGGUGUACUCUUGUCAAUCUGUCAAGGACAAGAACUCGAUGAAAAAAUAAUUCAGACAAGUGAGCCUUCACUCAAAGAAAGAUAACAAAAUAUAAAUAAACAAGUAUGUAUAUUGAAAGAGAAACUGGAAUGGCUAUUGCCAAAAGACAAGAAAACUAGAGACCCUUGAAACUAGACCGGAAGCAAGAAAGGAGUUGACAAGAGUGAAGAAGGCUUCACUCUUGUCUCUAUAUAUACUAUAUAACUAGGGGCUACGUGGCAACAUUCUAUAAGACCUCCAAUAUGUGUUGACUUUGUAGGACACAUGCCUUGACUUACAAGGCAAGUUUUUCUACAUGUGGGCCAUAUAGUUAGCUUGAUCUUCAAGCUAACAACAUGUGUGGCACAUGGCCAACUUAUUGACCACGUUUCUAAUCCAAAAAGUCAAUUAAAGACACCUAUGAAGUCAAAGUAGCAUCUAUUAAGCUUCUAGGAAGCUUCCAUAUUAAAUACUAUAGAAUUAAUUUAUUUCUACCUACUUUUACUUACUUCUACCUAUUUGUAUAUGUAAUUACUAGCUUACAAAAGUAUGUCCGUGACACGUUUAUUCUUUCCAUAUGGAUAGAAAUGGUCUUGAUUAUGACUACCGUGAUACUUAUAAGCAGGUUUUUCAUGUUUAUAUAAUUUCUUCUUAGACUUUGAAAUAUUAAAUGCAUGAGAUUUUGGAACUGUAGUUCCAAUAGGACGAGCUUCCACAUUUCAUUAGAGUAGUUCAUUUUGCUUCUCCCAAGAAGUAGAUAGGACAUGAGAUCAGAAUGACUCUGAAAUUUCAUGUUCUUGUAUUGUUGUGCAAGCACAGUAGAUUUAGGAGGAAAUAUAGAGACACUUUUCUCAAACUUUUCUUCUUCAGAAAUGCUUUGUCCACAUAAUCGUAAUUGUGAGACAAUACUAUACAUUUCACUAUUGAAAGCAUUUAAAUUUGGAAAAUCCAAGACACCUAAAUGUGUCCAAUUAUGACGUGCACGUGGAAAAAAAAUGGUCUUUUGAUGAUCAAACCUAGAUUUAAGAUUCUUCCAAAGUUCUGUAGGAUCUUCCAUUUCCAAAUAUUGAUGUUGUAAUGCAGGUACAAGAUGACGACGAAGGAAAAGAAGUGCUUUCCAACGAAUAGCAAGAGGUAUAUAAAUACUUGUUCUAGGAGAUUUUUCAAACAUAAUGACAUCCGAGAGUUGUUCUGCAAAUAAAUUUGCUUUUGCCAUUUUUGCUCAUAAUAGAUAAUUGUUUCCAUCCACAGUCAAUGGUGGAAAUAAAAGAGCUUGAAAAUGUUGGGAUGCACUCGUAAUAGUUGGAACCAUAGUAGAAGCAGUUAAAGAUGUUGAAGCACUCAUUAUAAAUAAAUCUGUAAAGAAAAUACAAGAUCAAAUAGAAAAGUUGAGUAAAAUGUACCUUAAAAUAUAAAGUCAAAUAAAAUGAUAAAUUUGAAAUUUAAAAAAUAAUAUAUAUAUAUAUAUAUAUAUUUUAAGAAGAAAGAAUUGUAGAUUAAGGCAGCAGAACAGCAAUAAGAUGGUGACAGUAGGCAGCGGUAGGGCGGCAGGGUGGCAGCGGCGGGCAACAGCGGGGGGCAGCGGGCAACGGCGGGCAGCAGCGGACAGCGACGACAACGGCGACGGCGGUAGCGGCAUUAGGGCGGCGACGGCGGCGGGCGGCAGCAUUAGCGAUGACAACGGCGACAGCGGCAGCGGCGUUAGGGCGGCGACGGCGGCGGGCGGCAGCGUUAGUGACGACAGGGUGGCAGCGGCGUUAGGGUGGGAACGGCGGCGGGCGGCAGCGUUAGCGACGACAGGGUGGCAGCGGUGGAUUUGGCAGCAUUUCGGCGUUUGUUCGAUGGCAAGCGCGGGGCGCAGCAGGAGCAAGCAGAGGGUGGAGUUGGGCUGGAUCAAGUAUUGAGAGCAAGCAAGGCAGGGAGUGGAACAAGUGCUCUAAGCAAGCAGCUUAUGUGUGAAGGGCCAGCAAGAAGAACAAGAUUAGCAAGACGCAGACAUUGAGCAAGGGUAGCCACAGGUUUGAAGAGUCAAAGACUAGAGCAAUAAAUUGUGAUAGUGUGUAGAAGAGAGUCGUCCUGAUAACCUGUUGAGAAUGUUUAGAAAGACACAAGAGUAAUAGUAAGUCAUACACACACACAAGAGUAGUAGUAAGUCAUACACACACAAGAGUAGUAGUAAGUCAUACACACAAGAGUAGUAGUAAGUCAUACACACAAGAGGGUUUCUAAGGGGAGAGAGCUUCACACACACACAAAUCUAUUGAUCUGGUUGUGUCUCGUAUACAAGAAGAGAAAAGAGAAGAGGAUGAACGAUACUUCUCCACUAAACUCUAAAUACUGUAGCUAUGGUAAUUACUGUAGUCUACAGUAAAUAUUAUGGAGAGCUCAGUUUGCUUAUUGCUGGAGUCCUCAUCACCUUCUCACUUGUUGACACCUAAUUCUCAUCUGCUUUCCUUAUCAAUUUUGAAUUCUGUCCAUGCUAAUUAAAACUUUUUAGUUUUUAUUGUCGUGUGGACACCACAAGUUUCUAGAUUGAAAAACUACUAGGAAAUCUACUUAUCUUCAGUCAGCUGAGUUAAUUUUUCUCUGUUUUCGGAAUUUUGUAGCAACAAUGUGACUGAGUACGACAAAGAAAAAUGAGGAAAGCUCUCAUAGUUACGGAACCCUAUUUAUCGGUUUCAACUGAAAAUGAAUAUAGUAGGUCUUUUGCUGGGUAUUUUCAAUAAAGGGACAAAGGAGCGAGAAUAUGUAUCGAAAGUUGUUGGACAACGAGUUAUUGAUGGUUAAAUAAUUUUUAUUACGUAAAUCCUAACUAUCAAUGAUAACUAAAACAAAACUAUUGUCAAUGGAGGUCUUCACGCUUAAGGGCCACACCAUUCUUCUCGCCACGAGUGACAUGGUGGAUCCGAAACUGCGUUGACAAAUCAUGUGGCUGUUGCACCUGUGUUGUCAUCAACCCUUGCAGCGAAUCGAGGUAAAGAAUAGGCAGUUUUGCGGUUACUGUAGAUCGUUAAGGAACUACCGUGGCCCGCACUAAAGAAAGCUUAGACUUCAAUGGGACUGGUCGACUCUUCACUGACUUAGUUGUGCACGCAGUUUCUAUAAAAAGAAUUCUUUCAAAUUGUAGCGUCAUUCACACUUCUGUCCAAAUUUGUGGCAAAUCUGCUGGAUUACUCAAGUAACAAGAAGAGACAGCGUAGAAUUGUAGCGCUAAAUAUUUAAAUGAACCAUGAACAUAUUUGAGGGGAAGAAAAGGAUGGGAAGCUGCUAACCGCCAACCUAGAAGGACAGCUGUGAAAUCAUUGUGUGUGGAGCAUUGCAGGCUGCGAGGUUUGAAGAUCGAUGAACAUUCAGGCACAGGUGUCUUUUGAGACGUUUGAACACCUUUGAGUGCCGCGAUUUGAAAUGUCCAAGGGCAGCUGCCCUGUGCGAUGUGCUCCUACCAAUUAAGUGCUUGGUCACAGCUUUUGCCCCUGUGUUGGCUCAUUCUCGACGCUGGGUGGAAAGUAAGCUGUUGACAGAUUAGUUCACGAGCAUCGAGGCACCACUAAAGCAAUCGCAGUUGUGCAUUCGGAAAAUUAUGCCAGAUUAUCUCCAGAUGUAAUGCGUGAUCGAAGCGUGAUCGCAGCUUGAUUCUUGUGGAUGGACGCUAGUGCUGUAGAGCAUGAUGAGUUUUACAUUUGAUACUGUAGCUGUUCGAGAGUGCUAUAUAGAGGAGAACUAGGAAGUUUGUAGAGUUUGAAGCGAGAUUGUGGAGCAGUUGUGCCUUGGUGUUUCACACAUAAGCGGUUGCUUGUGAUGAAGGGCAGGGUUUUUGCGAUUAGGUUGUGUGGGGUGCAUGCCGAGUGUCUUAGGAGGAACGGAUCCCAAGGAGGGCUUUUCUUUGGAAACUCUCUACGUCGAGUGUUGAUUCAGGUUUUGGGGGUCUGAAGUAAGAAAUGGGGCGAGGAUUGGUGGGUAGAGUCGCAACCAAACUUGAUAUUCUGUAGUCAAAGAGCAGGUGCUAUUGGGAAGGAUUGCCUGAAAUCUGCAGGUGGGAAGAGCAGUCGUUAAUGUGGUUGGCGAUGGAAUUUGCAGGAUUUGGAUUGUGAGAAAUUUCAUACGAGAAUGUAGGCUUCGAAUUAGGGUUAUGGCUCUUUCUCGAAGGAGACAAGCAACUUGAAAUUCCAGUUUAGGGGGGACGUCCUGGGAAGGGUUCUCGGAUUCCUGUAAUUGAAUCCACGAAGUAUCGAUUUGGUGCCCUGGUGUUAAUCGUUCGUACGAGAAGAAGCGGGAAUAGUUCAACGUUGUCGGAUCCGAAUCUCUUUGUGAUUAUCUUAUUACGUGGAAGACUUCUCCAAUUCAAACUUAUCUGAAGAUUUUUGAAACAGGGUUUAGCUGUCCAAAUAGUUUGUAGGUUCAAUACUUUAUCAAGGUCAUGAUUGGAUGGUGAAAGGACGGAUUGGGAUUUUGUAGCAAAAUUAGAAGCAGUUGUGACUGGUUCAAGCAUGGAAGUGCUCCUGGGUGAUCGGCAAAUAGCUGAGCCUCCAAUUUUCCAGUUGGGGUCGACUGACAUUUUGGAUUUUGGAAACUAUUAGGUCUGCUCUAGAAAGUAUGGGACUCCGCAUUGUGUAGCUGUAUGGAAAUGCGCUAGUGUCAGAAUGUAGUGAUUGGCAGUCACGGAUUAGUGGAUUGCGCAUUGUCUGCGAGCACCUGAGUAUCAGGUUAACCAUGGAGACGCUGAAAGAUUUGUUGGAGGAGGCUAAACGGCGGACAAUUCUGGUGGCAAUUUUGGUGCUCAUUGUUGCUUACGUUAUGUCAUGUAUGCCUACUCUUCAUUUACAACUCGGUUCUUCAUGAAGGAUCAUGUUCUGAUCACUUGGUGAACAUAUUCUGCAGAUAGAUCUGUUCAUGUUGACUUGUUGAUUUAUUAUCAAAUAGUGCACUCCUUUCAAACUAUUGGGUGGAAUUUAUCAAUCAGGUGCUGGGAAAUUCCCUUCACUUGGGAUUUUAACCAAGGAGACCGUGAAAUGGUGUCAGCGCACUGUUGCUGUUUCUGAUGACUUCCUUUGCUGAUCGGAAUGCUGGUUGUUAUUCCUGUCAAAUUGCUGCAAUAUUUAACUGCCAUGUGAUUACAUAGUUUCUCAUUAGAACACGAUUUUUCUCACAUCUCGUUAGGACCUUCGCUUGCUAAUUGUAAUUUUUUUUUGUGUUUAUGCGGUCGUGGUGCAGUGACCAGCAGUUCGGUAUGGAUCAAUCUGCCUGUUUCCAUUCUCGUCUUGGCUGCCUUACGCCGUCUUUCUUUCGAGGUCGAAUUUCGCUGGAGGCCUCGAAUAAAUCAGAGUCGACCGCAAUACGCGUUGCAUCAGCACCGCCGUCAGCUGACCAAUUAUGACCCCCUUCUCUCUGGACUUCCGACCCAUGUGGCGGCUACCCGGUUUGUUCUCUUAUUUUACUUUCUCAUUUUUGUACUCUACGUGUAGUUUCUCGUAUCAAUUGUUUUGGUAUUUAUUAACAAAUUUGCCUCGGCUAUUUGUUGUAAUGGAAUGACUAUCAUAUCUGACAACAUUUACUUAUAUGCAAAAACGAUUUUGCUUACAGUUCAGUGUACUCUCUCUCUCUCUCGUUUUUCUUUGCUUUUCGUCUUCAUGUAUGUUAAGAAGAUGAUUUUUCCGAGCUAACCUGAUUGUAGGUCGUUUUCAAUUGGGAAAGAACUCAGCAAGAAGUUAAUUGUUAUCAAAGAAAUCCAGGGGGGAUGUUGUUUUAAAAUUAAAUAAAGUUUCUUGACAAAUAGUGCUCACACUUUCAGAUGGCGCCGCCAGAUUGACUCACUUGUGGUGGAGAAAGCAGUGGAUGAGCUUACAAGGUGUGUAAUUGAUGAGUUUAUUACUAGUCUCUGGUAUUCUUCCAUUACCCCUGAUCAAGAGGCUCCUGAAGAAUUACGGAUUCUCUUGAAUGGCGUGAUUGCUGAGGUUGCUCAUCGUGCGAAACGUGUGGAUCUGGUCACUCUACUAUCAAGGUAAGGUUCUGCCAACCAUAGGUUCUGUGCGCUGCUAUUGAAUCUGUAUACAUCUUACAUAAUAUCAUAGACUGGUAUUCAUGGUAUUUUCUAGUUGUUCCGCAUCUGAACAAGAUCUGGGUAUUCCAGCAGCGAAUUAGUCUAUACACAUGUUGUGGGAUUUUAGUGGUAUAGGAGAGCAGAACAUCAUGUGUCAAGUUUUGUUUACGUAGUCAACCGCAUUUGUCCACAUCAUGCUGCAGAGAUGUGGUGGAACUGGUCGGGACUCAUUUCGAACUUUAUCGGCAAAUGAAAUCCAAGAUCGGACCUGACAUAAUCGCAUCAUUGUCUAUCGAAGAGAGGGAUGAGAAGUUAAAGUUUGCUAUGAUGACCUCCCGCAAGUUGCACCCAGCUCUUGUUUCAGAUGAAGCUGAAUACAAGGUUCGUAUAUUAUUAUGCAAAUUUUAAUUCAGGGCAAAGAGAAAUCUUGCGUAACAUGAAAGACUUAUUGCUUGAUGCUUCUAGAGUUGAGUGUAAUGAGAUAUUAUAUUUUGUUAUGGUAUAGUUUUGAAUGACUGUCUAUCCCGCAUCGUAUUCUGAGGUACCAGUUCCACAAAUUGUUAAGUCCCAUAAGUUAAUUUAAGCAUUAAGGUAGAGGUUCUUGCCAUAUUGGGUGUUUGCACCCUAUUUACAGAUAUUUAGGAAUCCUAACUCUUUCUUGGUGUGCAUUCUAUUUAGAGAUGCUUCAGCUUUGUGGCAUUAAUUCCUAUUUAUUUUGCAGCUGAAUACCUCGUAUGUUUUCAGGUAUUGAAAAAGCUGACUGGAGGGAUAGUUGCAUUAGUGCUGAAACGACAGGAUUCACACUGUCGUUUGUUAAGGACUUUAGCCCGAGAGCUGCUAGCUUGUGCUGUGCUACGACCUGUCCUUAACUUUGCGACUCCUGGGUAGGUGUUCUCCAGGGCCGUAAAGCUCUUUGCCAACUCAUUAUAGCGUUGCAUGUCGUUUCAUUAAGAUGUUUUGUUGUGAAGAUUUGUGUAUAUCUGGUUUUAGUUCAAUUUUCAUCUUCCACCGCUUCAUGACGCAGUGGUGGCUUCUCGAUUUGUCCUCCGUAACUCUUUUGAAUGCCUGUCCUUUAUUUCUUGCCGGUUACUUGUUUGAUUUAGGGGUUGUUUGCUUUAGGUAUAUCAAUGAACUUAUCGAAUCUCUAGUAAUUGCUUCAACGGAAAAGGAACGUCAGGGCAGUGAAAAGGCAUCUGGACCCACACAACAGCGCGUCUCUGAUCCCACUUCUCAGAAGAGAACAUCUGUAUCUGGGCAUGAAACAAUUGGACUGAGCCGCUUACCUCGUAGCCCGAAGCAAGUUGUGUCAGAAAUCAACCCCUUGAAGAAAAAGAAAAAACAUGUAAAGGCAAUAGGAGAUGUUGAAGGUUCUACUCAAAGUCAGCCACCAUAUGCUAUAAAGCCUGUGAAAGAGGUAGCGUGCAUGCAUGCUGGAUAUGUUGAUGGGCCUUUUGAUGUGUGGGUACAGUUCUGUGAAAUGAUUUGCUAUACUAUCAUGCUCUCGCGCACUUAUGCUAAUAAUGUGGGAGAGGUGAAACUUACUAACUCUGGAAUGCAUGUUAAAAACCAACCAGGCAAAAGGAACUGAACAAUUCAUUCCCGACACCAUGAAGGAAGUGGGACCUCCCCCCCCUGGCAGCGGGCCCCAGGUAUUCUAUGGGAAUCGGUUACCAUUUUCAGACUUCACAUAAUUUUGCAAAGUUGAUGGUUCUGAAUCUCCCAAAUGAGACAUGAAGGUAUUUUUAUGUAUUUGAGAGGAUCAAAACGACCUUUUGAACAUAAUCAAGGUGUCUUUACUCUGCGCAUGUCUCAUCUCGUUCUUUUCAUUUUCAUGGCAGGCUCUUGACGCAGUGACUCAAAGGCGAGUUCAAGCUCUAGCUCCAGAGCAUCUGGACAAUCUUUGGACCAAAGGUCGAGAUUAUAAAAAGCGAGAAAUUGAAACAAUCACUACGCCUGCGAUGCCCGUACCAGCAGGUAUCAAAGACCCUGCCACUAAUUCACUAGCACCUAUUCCAGUGGAGGUAGACAUUUCCAGUGAGGUACUUUCAGGUCAGGAAAUGUGUAUGAAUGAAGAGCUCAAUUCCAAGGACACAGUUGCCUCUCCCAUACGUAUGGAAGUAGAUGACUACCAUUUAGACGCCUCGGCACUGCCGAUUAAAGAUAAGAACGUCAUUGAGUCGAAUGGAGCACUCUUGUUUGGGGACUCAAAAGAGGGGGAUAAGCUUUUACCUGGGAUAGGCUUCUCUACUUUAGGAACUCCCCAUCCAAAUUUUCAGUCGAUGGGCAACCCAAAUAAUGUUACUGAUGGCAGCAGUCCUAGAGGUCCAGAAUUUGAAAGGCUUGGCACUAAUGAAGAUUUAGAUAGUUCUAGUAGAAUCAGUCAACCGAAAGCGGAAACUAGUGGGCAGUCACCAAGAUCCAGGCACCACUACAGGCCAGGCUUAUCGUCGCAGAGGUUAAGGAAAGCGGUGAAGAUACUGUCUCAUCGUAAGACCAAAAGCAGUGGAGGGAUAUUGGAUGGGUGGAAUGGUCUAGAAGGGGGAUCAUCGCAGGGUCUGACUCCUUUGGUGAAUGCUGAAGACACUUCUCCGGCUAGAAGUUCUGCCUCGGAGUCGUAUGGACGUUGGAGAAGUUCAAGGAAAUCUCCGAUGCCGGAUCCGUCUCGGCCUCCAGUACAUGCUGAUGUUGAUGCCAUAGUGAUGCAAACACCGCUAAGCAUGCUGCAUUGUCGGGUAAGACCCAAAUUUCUGGCAUUCCUGUGAGUUGCAUACCAUAAACAUGAAUGAUAUGUAUUAUUGGAGCACCAAAACCACUUCACAUUUUUCAGCUGUCAAGUUAAAUAGGCUAUUGAAAUUGUGUUCUACUUCAUCUUCCUGUCCCCCGUAAGAUGUUAAUCAUUUUUCAACCAAUUUGAUCUUAGGAUGAAUGUAGUACUGCUCGAACAAAAAAUUUGAUCAUAUGUGUCUAAUGUGGAAUCCUCGUUCUUUAUCAUCAGGACCUGAUGAUGUGUAUUUAUUAAUAUCUUGGGGUAUUGUGCAGGUAUUAGUGGCUCAUUUCGAGAAAAUUGGAUCAAGGACCUUUGCUGUAUAUAUAAUCCAGGUGAAAGACACUGAAAAUCGCACCUGGCAAAUUCAAAGAAGGUACGGUUUGGCAGCGAUUAAAAGGGCUAAUAGAUUCUUGAAUGGAAAUCAUAAAUUUUUGGGGUUCAAAGAAGUUUUCUAGCUGAUAUUUAAGUGCAUUAAAGCACUUAUUUGCUGGAUGAUACAACUAUAUGUGGUCUGAAAUGUAUAUAUUGUGGACUUAAAUAUACACACUCAGCAAAGAAAAUUUAGAGAAACUCGACUGAAUAGCAUUCUGCAGACUUGGUUAUAACUAUGAUAUAGCAUAAGAUUGCAAUGGAUAUGAAUUGAUUUUACGUAUGGUUAUAUUCCUUUUUCAAGAUCAUAGGGUGCUCAAUGAUUGUACACGACUCGGUGACUGACUUGGUUUUCUUGCGGUGUAGGUUUCGAAACUUUGAGCAGUUGCAUAGGCGUUUGAAAGAUAUGCCAUACUAUAAUCUUACCCUACCUCCAAAGAGGUUCCUUUCUUCAAGCCUUGACAGUACUUUUGUCCGCGAGCGCUGCACCCUCCUUGACAAGUACUUGAAAGUAAUUAUGUCGGCCCCUAUUUGAAAACUUUCUCUCGUAGAAACGCUCCUAUGCACUAAUUUGAAAGUAGACAAUUUGGUAUCCCAAUGAUGUUCGCUCUUUAACUUGGAUUGUUGCAUUUCUGAUCUUCAUCAUACAAUGCUAGCUCUGUUUUGAAACAUUUUCUGUACUCGUCUAACCAUCUGGCGUAAUGGUUCAAUGUCUCAUGUUUUGUGUGCUGUAAUUACUGUGGCUGCAGGAUUUGUUAGCCAUCCCAAGUGUUGCUGAGCUACAUGAAGUAUGGGACUUUUUGAGCCUGAAUUCUCAGGUUCAUAACCUCCUUCAGAAACAGUUUCUUAGAAUUUUAUUUCUAAGCUAGUAUAUUUCUUCGUAGAUGAAGUGGUCUUCAUUCGUAUAGUUGCUUUUCAAAGGUUUCCUUCGUCUUUUUUCUUUGUCUUUUAUUUAACCCGUCACGAAUUGAUGUAUACAUUUGAAGCUGUAUAUGACUUCAACUGUAGGUUAAGCUUUUUCCAAAAUCCGAAAAGCGGUAUUUUUUUUGGUUGAAGUGGUUCCACAUCAACGUGGCUGAGUCGUCCAAUUAUGACCAGAAUCGUAACAGACUCUUAGUAUGUGAGAUCUACUGUUGGACCUGGCAAAGUCUGGUGAUGUAGUGAUCGUGAAUUGGCACGGUCACUCAUGUUAUUGAUUGUCUCCUCUUAAGUGUGAACAUGCCACGUGGUAUGUGUUGUACAUCUGUCUUGCUAGAAUUCUUGAUGAAUUCAAGCUUUAUUUUCCUCUGUCUAUGAUUUGUCCAUUUUCUUUCUUUUUUCUUUUUUCUUUUUUACAUUUUAUUUUCGAAAUGUCUUCUCAUAUUUCGUACUAGUCAUCUUGGUGGUUUAGAAUGCGACAUGUCUAUCUUUUCAGAUUUAUAUAAUUUUUUUUCAGUUCUUUUGUAAAUCUUAAAUACUAACUGACCUCGAUGUGUGGUUUCAUCUCCAGCACUACACACACGACAAUUCUGUUUCUAUGAUCAAGACAUUAGCCGGUAAAGCACCUACUUAUUUUCCUCAUCCUUCUUGCUGGAUGCUGCUAUAUGCCUAUCUCGCUCACAAAAGAAAACUUGCUGGUUGCAGUGAAUGUGGACGAUGCAGUAGACGACAUGGUUCGCCAGAUUCGUGGAGUAUCAGAUGAUAUCUCUGGGGUGAUCAAAACUGCCACAACGGGGAUACGGCAAAGGCUUCCUACAAGUUGUGCAGAUAUGAGCGACGCAGUUGCUUUUGAAGAUACUCGGGAAUUGACAUAUGGAAAUUUUGCUUCAAGACUUCAUGCUCCUUUGACAACACCCGACCUAACCGAUGGUGAACUUAGUGAAAAACCCACAGGAGCCUCAGUUUCAGGGGAUGAGUAUGGAGGAGCCUUUGGAGCAAACGUGCCUGGGUUGGGAUCGCUUGGGUGGCAAUCAGAUAGUGAUGUUCAUCUAGAUUCUUCGGACACUGAAGCGUUGAAGACGGGGCCACUUCCUUUUUUCUCUGGCUUAGAUAACCGCUUCCUUGGCAGCCGACUGGAGGGGACGUUUUCAGAUGGGCACUCACCCGUUGAAUCCUACGCUUCUGAAACAGUUGCAGACGAUCUGGUUAUUCCUCAAGAGGUAGUCUCAAGAACUCCACUUAAAUGUGCUUAGUUCUGUUGUUCGCUUAAUGAAAAUCACUGGAUCUGUUUGACGUUUUUAAUAGGUACACAUGGCUCUUGCAGUGGUAUCCACCGAAAGUGAGUGUGCCGCUUCUCAACUUGGUGGAUCUUAUUUUCCAGCUCCAAGGCCGGGGUUGGAUCAGGUACUUCGUUAAUCCGUGAGAUUUCGAUUUGGUGUUAUUUAACAAUUAGCUUCGUCAUUUCUGUGUGUCCUCCUCAUGGAUCAACCAUCUACUGAUCAUUGCUGUGAAUUGAUUGUUUUUCAGGAGACAGGUAUUGUGGAUAGCGAAGCAAAUUCUGCAGCUUGGAAUGGGUGAUGCUAUUGACGACUGGCUGCUGGGGAGGAUCCAGUGGUUGCGCCGAGAAGAGGUGGUAGCAUCAGGGAUUCAGUGGGUGAGAGAGGUGAGUCUUGUCUCCUAAUCUUUGACACUUAGUUUGAACUAUCCACGCGUAGGACAUUUUUUCAUCAUGUGAAUGUUGUCAUUGUAGAUAUUAUGGCCAGACGGUAUUUUUGUCACAAAGCACCCCAGAAACCUGCCGGCAGCAAGUGCUGCAAUACUGGAAAGCACAGGGCAUGAGGUGGUAGAAGCAGGCUACGAAUGGCAGCAACGCCCCCCCACCAACUGUUUUGAAUACCGACUCGAGGCUGCAAGACGGGCUAGCAUUGUGCGCGAGACUAUUCUGGGUAAGCAAAUACCCCUUAUUCAUGAAUUCUUUGCUUUUGAAGUCUGCUCACCACCAAUUGACUGAAAAUCAAAGGGCUCAAGUUUCUCGAGGUUCUCACCAAUAGUGUUUCAUUAUCCUGCAGAAAAAGCACCCACCCCUCUUGUGAGCCUUAUUGGCAAGAAGCAGUAUACAAGAUGCGCAAAAGAUAUUUAUUAUUUCUCUCAGGUUUCUCUUCAACCAGGGAAUGAUUGAUAAUUUCAACUGCGAAUUCCUGUUCAUGACUUUAACUUAGUACAACAUCCUUUCAGAGUAGCCCCACGUAACAUUCUGUAGCUGUAGCAUGUACAUCUCGGGUGCCAAUGAAUGCCAUGGUUUUACAGACUAGCAGAUAUUAACCUUUCUAUCUGAAUGGGGUAUGUGGGUGAUGCAGUCUACCGUUUGUGUGAAGCAGCUGACUUACGGCCUCUUGGAGAUGCUCCUGGUGCAGACAUUCCCCGAACUUCACGACUUGAUUCUCAACGUCCGCAGCAGUGUCACUUAAACUUUCAUUUUGGGAUGAUCCAUUGCUCUGUACUUCUAAUUUUAGUUCUACAAGAGGUUAAUGAAGUAAACAGAUAGCUCAUGUGGUUCGGCCGAGCUAAUUCAGUGUGGUUUCUCUCAGCUGCAAGAAGCAGUAGUAGUACCAUAAUUAGGCCAUUAGUUCUCUCCCGCAAGGGCUGUAAUUCAUUCAUUCAUUCAUUCAUGAUAUUUUUUUACAAAUUGUCUGCAACCAUAUUUCAUUAUUGUGAUCGAUCGACUUCCCUGUCGAGUGUGAAGAAUGUCAUAUUGAGUACAGAAUGUCGAUGAAUUCGCCAGCUCAGUAUCAAGCACCCUCAUCUGAAGAUUCAAAGCACGGCAAAUUGAGAGUGUUUAUAUGGCGAGUUAUAAAUAACAGUCAUGUUAACGAAACAUCGCAACUGCGCAAAAGUAGCUUGCGUACCACUUUUGAGGUUAAUUCAGAGGGAAUCCCGACGUCAAGAAGUUGCCGGAAAAGCGACUAAGUCAAAUGGGUUUUGGAUGAGGGUUCUGUAGCGUCAGUAUAGACGAGGGAGUUUUUCGUCAUCUCUCUUGUGAAAUUGAUUCCUGAAGGUUUGUGUUAGAGGAGGUUUGGAGUUAGGGUUAGGAUUAGGAUAUACACAGGCAACCUUGAAAGAUUGCAGCGAGAGGGGAAAGGGCGUGGGUGAAGUUCGGGUGAGGAUUCUGGAGUGGAUUGUGGAGUGGGAGAUGAGUGAAGGGUUUGGAGAGAUUGGGUGGAGGGAAGAAUUCGAUGGAUCAUGUGUUUGCAGGGAUUCGGACGGAGCUCGCCUCCAACGAUGGGGUGCGGCAAGCGAACGCGCUACUGCUGGCGCUGCAGCAAGCGGCGUCAGGGAAAGACAUCUCCUCUAUUGCGAGCUCCGCUUGCGAUGAGGUAAUUGCUAGCCCCGCAAGUGCGGUGUGUAAGAAGCUGGCCUUCGACUUAGUCAGGUGCACGCGCCUGACCGCAGAGCAGUGGGAGGUCGUGUGUCGCGGCAUUCUUAAUGAUUUCGAUUUUCCGGACUCGGACGUCACAGCCGCGGCAGUUUCCUUCAUAUCCGCAAUUCCAUCUUGGCGACUUGGGAAUUUUAUCAUCGAUUGCAGCGACAAGAUUUCUAAUUGCAUUUUAAGCGACAACCCGAAUUUGAGGUAUGCGAUAAUCGAGACGCUCGGGUGCUUGCUUGCUCGGGACGAUCUUGUCAACCUCUGCGUGUCGAGCGCCCCAUUGCUGGAGAAAGUGUCAUUAUGGUGGCGGCAGCUCGGUGAAACCAUGCUCCAUCCCUACGACGCCGUGGCGAGGAUUGCAUACGAAGGCGUCGGGCGCCUCUUCCUGGAGUUUAGUACUAAGAGGAUGAGCAGGCUAGCGGGUGACAAGCUUGUGCCCACGGAAGAUGCCGUUGCCAUUCGCUCCGGCUGGGUUGCGGCCAUGUGCAGAUUUGUGUGGGAAAAGGCCGAUUUGCUGAGGGCCCGUGCCAAGGUUUUAACACUCGAGAGCUUUCGAUCGUCUGUUUACCCGCUUGUUUUCUCAGCUAAGGCCGUGGCUACCGGAAUGGUAGAGGAAAUGGAGGCAAGUAUUAAUCUUCACCUUCGUGGUUAAAACAAUUCCAAUCAUUUCCUAUUAGUCGACGCAGACCCUUGUGUCAUCAAGUGGAGCAGUAACUAACCAUGAAAAAUCGAAGCUCUCUGUCAUCAUUGCUAGUUUGCCAUUCACAUAGAGUCAGAUCUCUUACAUCAAUGCUGGCUUAACCUCGAAGCCGAAAGAAUGUCAAACCAUGAGUACUGCUACAUGAGGAUUGAAUGUUCGGGCUAGUAAAGGUCUACACAAAUGUGACAAGAAGCUGCGAAUUUCAGUGGUUCACAAAUUUAUGGCAUCAAAGAUUUAUGAACUGGGACAGUAUUGUUGUUCAGUAAAGAGUGCCUUACUAGGAGGUCCAUUAGGAUCUGUCAUUCGCAAGUGGUCCUCGAAGAUGCUGCGCGUCUCUUGUUUUCGAUUGUUCUUCGUAUUGAUCCUGCUAACCAUGGUUCUGGUGGAACAGAUGCUGUCGGGGAAUCAUGUGAGGUCUCGAAGGGCAGUAAUGCAGAGAGACAAUGCCGAGAACAUUCUUGGAAUUUCGGACGUGGUUUCCCACCUUAUGCCUUACUUAUUUGUACUUGACCCAGCUUUAGUUUAUGAGGUUAGUGUGAACCUCCUUUCCUUGGCAGAUGUGCCAGGAGGAAAGCCUGAGUGGGCAUCGGCACCAAUCACUGCACUACUCACGCUAUGGGAUCGACAGGAGUUUAAUGCAGGGCGAGAGAGCAUCGUUCGUGCAGUCGUGAAAAAUCUUCAACUCUUGGACCUUCACUUGCAGGUUCGACUUCCAGUAAUUUGAGAAGUACACUGAUAUCUUCCAUGCCCUCUUUUUAAUGAUCCGUGUUUUCUGCUUCGCUUAUUGCUGAUCUUUUUUUUUUGUUUGAAUCACCUACUCCCACACAGAGAGAGAGCUGUGUAUGAAGUUCAAUAGAUUGCUUAUGUGCUUCACGUGACACUGCAGGUGUCACUUUUCAAACGUCUUCUUCUAAUGGUAAGGAAUCUAAGAGUUGAAGCGGAUCGCAUGCAUGCUCUCGCCUGUAUCUGCCGAACUGCACUGUGUGUGGACCUUUUUGCGAAGGGAAGCGUUAGAAGUGGUCAAAAACCGUUACAGAACACGAAUAUAGCUUCACUAUUUGAGGAGUCAAAAAUAAGGGAGGAAAUGACAAGCAUCUCUCUUGAAACCUCCAUAAAUAAGGGAGGAAAUGAGCGAGGAUCAGAGCGAAGGAUCCAGAGUGAAGGUCUUUUUCGAGAAGAAUUGGUUGCCUGUCUAGUUGAGAGCUGUUUCCAGCUGUCUGUCCCUCUGCCGCGCUUAAAAUCUCAGGAUACUGAGAGCCGUGUUAUAGGAGCCGUAACUUAUGGUACGGGGUCUGGAGCUAUGAACUGGACCCAAUCAGCUCUGGAAGUAGUGGAGGUUUGCAGGCCUUGCGUCAAGUGGGAUUGCCAAGGUGCAGCAUUCGUCUCUAAAUAAUUGUCUUCUGAUUGAUAUGAUUGCGCCCUGCACUGUGUGUGGUAGUGUGAAGAGUUUCUUGUUUUUCGGCUAUGGAGAUGCUUGCAGUAGUGAAAUCUUAUGUUUCUGGCAGGUCGCACUUAUGCCAUGGACUGCUAUUUGAAGCUGCUAGUGCGGUUAUGUCAUAUCUAUGACACGGUUGGGGGUGUGAAGAAAGCUAAGGAUGGUGCAUCCCCUGAGCAAAUUUUGGCAGAAAAACGAUUGCAGGCUCUUCAACGGGAACUUGUUAAAGAUCUCAAUGCGGUUAGUGCAUCAAGUCACGGAGUUGUUACUUUCACCAUAGUCUUCAUGUAAAAUAGCUCUUGAUUCUUGGUAUGAGUGUGUACAAUGUGGGAAACGGGGUUUCUAGUAUAUUUCCAUUGUAUUUUACCUGUUUGUUCAUUUAGUCUAGCUCGUGUAGCUUUUCUGCUUAUAAUUAAGUUGAGCUGAUGAAUACAUCGACUACAAGUAUCUGAAUUGAAUUUGAUUUGGUUGUGAUUUUGUUACUUGAACUUUCUCCAGAUUAGUGCCUCGAAGGAGAUUUAAGAGUCAUUUUCUCUGUGCAGGUUGCUACUUCAAGGUUGCGAGCCCGUGUCAUAUGGGCCUUGGCGGAGCACUUUGAUCUUGAGGGUCUAGAUCCGUUGCUGGCUGAUGAUCCUGAGGAUCCUUUGAAUGUUAUCAUUGAUCACAUACACAAGGUCCUCUUCAAUCACGACUCUACGGCAACUUCGACCAAUAGGUAGUCUACUUCUCUUUUUGUUUGUGACAAUUUUCCAUUGUGUUUUUUUGGCUUACUAUCGCAAUUUGCACCUGUAGAAUGAUAUCAGAUCUUUCUGGUCCUUUUUUUUUUUUUUUUUUUUUAAGUAACCGUUGCUUUUGCAGGUUACAGGAUGCACAGGCUCUGUUACUUUGUGCUGAACAUUUAGGCGCAAGGAAUUUGCGAGCUGGGCAGCUCCUGACAAGAGAACUUGAAGAAUUCAGGAAUAGUACUCUAGCCGACUCUGUGCUCAAGCACCAGUGCCGCCUAAUACUGCAGAAGUUCAAAUAUAUUGCUAAGCAUCAGGAUUCUAAGUAAGCAAUUUCAAAGAUAAUUUUUCAAAUGCUUGGAAGGAUGCAAGGAUUACACGCAUUCCGGUUUAAGAUGUAAAUGAUCGCAGUAGAAUGAUCAGUAUGGCCACUGGUAUAGUGUAGGCUGUAUUUUUGUUUGAAUCGGCAUUCUCUGUAUAAGGCUGAAGUACUUUUUGGAUUUGGUGGAUAUGUACCUGUCAGCUGACAUGCAUAUUGAAGGGAUUGUGGUCAGUCAGAAUCACUUUGUGCAUCUAUGGUUUUGGAAUAGUGCCUAGAAAUCACGGGUGCAUUUAUUCAGACAGUAUUGCUUUUUUGUAGGUGGGUAGGAAAUUCAGGUGCUACCGGCGAUUAUCCUUUCACACAUCAUAAGCUUUCAGCCCAGUACUUUGAUAACUCAGCAGCUCAGGACCGAAAGCUAGAAGAUCUUGUACACACUGCUGUUCAGGACCUUUGGCGACCUGCACGAAGUGAGCUUAGUUUAGCGACCUCUGGAUUUUCGCACUUGAAGUCUCCACCAACACCCGUAACUUUAUCAGGCAGCAGUGAUCCCUGCUUCGUGGAGGCUUACCACCUGAUCGAUCCUCAUGAGAAACGACUUACUCUGCAUCUGAAGGUAACCUCGACUUCAAUAAGAAGUUAAGCUAGUAAAUGAAUUUGUGGAGGAUGAUCCCAACUCGUUCUUAUGCCAUGAGUGACUUGGUAUUUGCACUUAGUGAUUCAUUUCGUUGUUGAGGCUUGGUUACCGCUGCUUUGUUUUAUAAUCGAGGAAAACUGAAACGCACCCACCAGGUGCUUUAGAACUAAACGCGCAAGUCUUUUGUGGCCUUUUCAGAUCGUCAAUAUGACAGAGCAAGAACUCAAGCGAGUUGAUGUACGGGUGGGUUUAAUUGGUGCCCUACGAUUUAUGGACGGUUCUCCCCAGGGUGUCCGGCAACUUCAAAUGCUCCACUCCCAGGUAUGUCUUAAUCAGCGAUCUCAACCUCAAAGGGUUUUGAAGUUGUGGGAUAUUCGUACAAUAAGGUAUCCCUUGUUGCCCUUCACUGGGAAGGUGCUAAAUGCGAGCGAGGCCUUAGGAGACCAUGUAAUGUUCCACAUCUAGAAUUGAGGGGUUAGAAGGUCAUGGUAGUUCAUUACUGGCCUUCAUUGCGCUCCAUUACUAUCUGAUGAUAUUUUGACAUUGAGUUUUAUCAUAGGAUAUAAAAUUGGAGAUAGUCCCAAAACAUUAGCAUAAUCUGACAUCUAAUAUCUGCAUCAUAUCUCUGCUAAGUAACAGUUGGACUCCGAAUCAUCGCAAUUGCUAACUUUUGCUGUUCUUGCAGACACCAGUCUCAUGCAGUGUUACGGUUGGAAUUUCGCGGUUUGAGCGGUGCUCCCUGUCCGUACAGAUUCUCUAUUACCCAUUCUUUGGUGGGGUAGGAGUAGCCAAUGGAGAAGAGGUAGAUGCCCCAGUAGAGGGAACUCAUGGUCGUCUACGUAAAACGGUUACGACUGAGUAUGGAGAACCAGUGGUGUUGCGGUGUGGAUCAUACUGGCUUCCUCUCAUAGAAAUUUUACUUCCGCAUGCUCUUUCACCUGUAGAGUUCUUCAGACUCUGGCCAAGUCUCCCAGCUAUAGCAGAAUUUACUGGGGGUUAUGUGUACGAGGGUGAAGGACGAAAAACAGCAACUGUGUCUGGAGGGUAUAUGGAACCUGCAGUUCUACCAAUUCUCACUGGGCUUAAAGCUUUGUCGUCUAAACCGUUCCAUAAAGUUUGUUCUCAUGUUCUGCGCACAGUGGCGGGAUUUCAGGUAAAUGUUCUCAAUGGAUAUGUUCUGGAGAUUCUUCUAGUAGUACGAACAGAACCUCCAUUUCAUUCCCUUAAAUUGUCUGAAUAAGGAUCUUCUUGUGCAGAUUUGUUAUGCAGCCAAGACUUGGUAUGGCGACUUGGUAGGUAUGAUGAUAUUUGGCGUGAGUGAAGUUAGUGGGGAUGUGGACCUUGGGGAAGAAACGAGGACGAUGGUUUGCAAAUUUGUGAUACGGUCAUCAUCUGGUACAUUAGUGGAUGAAAUCACCGCUGAUGUGCAGAGCUGGCUCGACGAUCUGACAGAUUGUGCUGUCAGAGUGGUUUCUGAUGCUGAAGUGCAGGUUAGUAAUAUGAAUACUGGCUUUUAAUUGUCCGCAUGUCUCUACAGUAGGUUUCCGGUCGCAGUCUUUCUGAAUUGUCUUUUGACGAGUGCGAGAUCUGCUGGUCUCAUUUUCUUUCCAGUCAUACAUCGAAACCAUUUUAUAAUUUUGUGUCGAAAUCAUGAUCUUGCUUCGAUCGUCUUUUUUGCCAUGGUUCCUCAACUUUGGAACGCUUACCCCACCAUGACGUUGCUUGUAUCAGGCCGCAGCUCAAGAAAAACUGAAGAGAUUAAUUGAGCUCCUAGCAAUAAUUAGAGCCAAGCCUAAAGAGCCUGAGCCUGAACCUGAACCUGAAGAAGAAGACGAUAGCUUGCUACCAGGCCUCGAAACCAAACCAAAGAAGAGACCAUCCACUCUCGCUCCUCCCUCUCCUGAAGAGAUGGAGCACCGUGCAUUGCAAUCUGCUGUGCUUCAUGAAUGGCAGGUCUUCCGUCAGCAAGCCAUGUAAACUGGACUUCUCAUUUCUUUUCAAAGUAUCGUGAAUGAGCUGGUAGUUUAAUUGUAAAUUUAGGCCGUAUUAUCAAAAUUUAGAAAUUUGAGGAAGUGUUGCAGUGUUCAUAAUGUCCAUAUAUGGUUGCAAAGGUUUUGAAUAGGCAUGAAGAGCAGCCAUUAAGUUAGGAUUGUUUGAUGUUACCAUAAGAGUUUUGGCUUCUUACCUGAGGCAUACAAGUUCAAGCUUGGCAGGCAUGCCCAGUUUGAGAACUCGUCCAACUCAUGUAAAAAUGCAUGUCUACUUUAGGAAGGCCAACAUGCAAGUGAUUCGAUCAUUUUAGGGCGAAAGGUGAAGGGUUUCCACCUCAUCAAUUUACUUCUAAAUGCAGGAUUUAUCGAAGUAAUAAAGUCGUCUCUAGACCUGCGAUUGUAGAUUGUGAUAUCGUAGUAAUGGGAAAGCAUUAUCUUUUUGAAUAAAUGGUAGGUUGGAUACUUUAAUCGCGAGCUUCCUGCAUAGCAUGUUUCCCUUAACUAUUCAGGGUCCACCUAGAAUCUAUUGAAAUAAAGUUGAGAAUUUAGCAUAUAUUCAAAAUAAAUGGUGACUGAUAUAGCAUUAGAUUGAGGUAGUUAUCUGACUCCAGAACAUAUCCAUUGAUGAUGAUUGCGGAGAAUUCCCAUAAAAUUGACUUCUAUUGAUCUUGUCCAAUACGUUUAUUAGGUAUUGUGGCGUAAAUGUGGAGUGAUUGUGCUACUCAGAAACAUAAUUCAGCAGUAAAAUAGAAAGGUGGUAAAUCGUUGAAGAGGACAGGCUUAAUGUUUAUGUGAAAUGUUAGAUUGCCACCAAUUGCUGAUACCAUUCCAUCUUUCAUUUUGCAAGUUUACUUGAAAUAAUUUACUUGAAAUAGUUUUCUUUCAAAAAAAAAAUCUAAAGCAUUUUCAAUACUUUUAAUUAUAAGAUCGUGUUCCUAACUCAUAUUAAGAAGUCUUUUAUAUCUUAGGUGGUGAUGUCAUUGCAUGUACGAGAUCACAACAUUCAAAGUUGAAAAAGAAAAAGAAAAAUUGAUGUUGCCCAAAUGGUAUAGUAAGACUUGAGCUAGACACAAUUCAUACUUGUGACCACAAAAUUUUCGGAGGAAUAAUUUUUCAAAGAUAUCCUGAAGUUCAGCAUAUUCAUGAAAAAUCUUAGGGCAAAGAGACAUGUACAAUACCAUAAACUAAAAAAAAUCAAGAAGUAGGUAGUUGAAAAGCUGAUAACAAAAAAAUUGUUUUAAAAAAUUAUUUUAUUUAAAAAAUGGAUGGUAGUUGGAAUACUUUUACAUGUUUUAGAAGAAGUAGAAAUAAUAUAUAUAUAUAUAUAUAUAUAAGCUUGAAAAUGUAUUGGGCAGCUCUAUAAUACAUGAUCUCCCUUGCCAACAAGGACCCACUACCUUGUAUUAAUUUUUAUGCAGCCCCCAAAAUCGCCCACAAUUACAGCUAUCAUGUGAUGGCAUAGACCCCGACCCAAAUUACCUUAGUUGGGGUCAAAAUCUAAAAAAACACCAUAACUAAAUCUUAAAUUUUAAUUUUUCUAGAAACUUUAGUAGAGCAUAAGCUUUAUAAGAAUUUCUACUCUCAGAAAAACAAAACAAAAUAUAUAUAUAUAUAUAUAUAUAUAUAUAUAUCCCAA
rnacentral:lncRNA from 1 species